CCUAGGGUGGCAGCAGUGGGGAAUAUUGGGCAAUGGGCGAAAGCCUGACCCAGCAACGCCGCGUGAAGGAAGAAGGCUUUCGGGUUGUAUACUUCUUUUGACAGGGAAGAGCAGAAGACGGUACCUGUCGAAUAAGCCACUGCUAACUACGUGCCAGCAGCCGCGGUAAUACGUAGGUGGCAAGCGUUUUCCGGAUUUACUGGGUGUAAAGGGCGUGUAGCCGGGCUGACAACUCAGAUGUGAAAUCCGGGGGCUCAACCCCCGAACUGCAUUUGAAACUGUUGGUCUUGAGUAUCGGUGAGGCAGGCGGAAUGCGUAGUGUAGCGGUGAAAUGCGUAGAUAUUAGGAGGAACACCAGUGGCGAAGGCAGCCUACUGGUCGAUAACUGACGGUGAGGCGCGAAAGCGUGGGGAGCAAACAGGAUUAGAUACCCUAGUAGUC
rnacentral:rRNA from 1 species